rnacentral:rRNA from 1 species
UGGCGGACGGGUGAGUAACACGUAGGUAACCUCCCUAGAAGCGGGGGACAACAUUUGGAAACAGAUGCUAAUACCGCAUAACAGCGUUGUUCGCAUGAACAACGCUUAAAAGAUGGCUUCUCGCUAUCACUUCUGGAUGGACCUGCGGUGCAUUAGCUUGUUGGUGGGGUAACGGCCUACCAAGGCGAUGAUGCAUAGCCGAGUUGAGAGACUGAUCGGCCACAAUGGGACUGAGACACGGCCCAUACUCCCACGGGAGGCAGCAGUAGGGAAUCUUCCACAAUGGGCGCAAGCCUGAUGGAGCAACACCGCGUGAGUGAAGAAGGGUUUCGGCUCGUAAAGCUCUGUUGUUAAAGAAGAACACGUAUGAGAGUAACUGUUCAUACGUUGACGGUAUUUAACCAGAAAGUCACGGCUAACUACGUGCCAGCAGCCGCGGUAAUACGUAGGUGGCAAGCGUUAUCCGGAUUUAUUGGGCGUAAAGAGAGUGCAGGCGGUUUUCUAAGUCUGAUGUGAAAGCCUUCGGCUUAACCGGAGAAGUGCAUCGGAAACUGGAUAACUUGAGUGCAGAAGAGGGUAGUGGAACUCCAUGUGUAGCGGUGGAAUGCGUAGAUAUAUGGAAGAACACCAGUGGCGAAGGCGGCUACCUGGUCUGCAACUGACGCUGAGACUCGAAAGCAUGGGUAGCGAACAGGAUUAGAUACCCUGGUAGUCCAUGCCGUAAACGAUGAGUGCUAGGUGU